AGCGAACGCUGGCGGCAGGCUUAACACAUGCAAGUCGAGCGGCCAUCCUUGUGGUGUCAGCGGCAGACGGGUGAGUAACGCGUGGGAACGUGCCCUUCGUUUCGGAAUAACUCAGGGAAACUUGAGCUAAUACCGGAUACGUGCGAGAGCAGAAAGGUUUAUCUGCCGAAGGAUCGGCCCGCGUCUGAUUAGCUAGUUGGUGAGGUUACGGCUCACCUACGCGACGAUCAGUAGCUGGUCUGAGAGGAUGGACAGGCACACUGGGACUGAGACACGGCGCAGUGUCGUACGGGAGGCAGCAGGGGGGAAUAUUAGACAACGGGGGCAACCCUAGUCCGACCACGCUGCGUGAGUGAUGCCGGUCUUAGGGUUGUAAAGCGCUUUUCACCGGGACGAUAAUGCCGGUACCUGAGGAAUAAGCCCCGGCUAACUUCGUG
rnacentral:rRNA from 1 species